UGUGUGUGCUGUGAGUCCUGCGCGAGCGGGGAGCAGAGUUGCCAUGGAAACGGGGCAUCAACACAAAAACCGUUACUGGCAAGCAGUAAUCUCCGUCUCUCCCUGCGGUUUACACUGUUUUAGAAACGGUUUAGUGUCUUCGGAAAUGUCCGUUAUCAUUUUAGCAGUUUUCAGGUGUUUGUUUGUGUAAAUGCUGUGUGCGCGUUGAGUCCUGCUCCAGCGGGGAGCAGAGUUGCCAUGGAAACGGGGCGUCAACACAAAAACCGUUGCUGACAAGCAGUAAUCUCCGUCUCUCGCUGCAGUUUACACUGUUUUGGAAACGGUUUAUUUUCUUCGAAAAAGUCCGUUAGCAUCUUAGCAGUUUUCAGGAGGACAGAAAGAAACUCUACAGAACAGAAGUGAAGCUCCAAGAUUUCAACAUUUCUGAAGGGAGAUUCUGACUUAGAAAUACAGGUGACCUGAAGAAGCUCAUGAAAAACAUGAAUAUGCCUUUUUCAGAAUACAUUUCACCAAUUUUAAGAAGUCCCUGACUUCAUAACCUUGAACUCUAGCUUGGAACUGUAGAGUAAAUAUUGUUGACUCUGUGUCAGAUGGCUUGUUUUGUUCCUGGAUUCUUCAGUGAUGACGAUCAGAGUCUGAGUGAACCUGCUGUCAGACAGGUUGGCCUGAUUGACGAUGCCAUCAUCCAUCGCCGAUAGCUGAUAGACAUCACGAUGCUGCGCUGGCAAACAGCGUCAUCAGCUCCAGUAUCUCGCGCGUGCAUCUGUUGUCAUGCGACAGAGAAGUCACGUUCUAUAGACAGUUUCUAUAGACAGUUGUGAACGUGCUGACAGCUGGUUGCCCAGGCUAUGGAUUAAAGGGCCAGCAGAGCCCUGCUCACCCUGUCGGCCCACCGCUGCUGUCAGACAACAUCUCCAAGAUGCUAUAAACUGCAGGACUAGAUGGCCAUCCCAAGGUUUCUAGAGAUUACAGCAGCUCCAGACUGAAUCCAAACUCACUUUUGAAGACUUCAGAUGAGACCAACGCUCACAAAGACUACAGACGACAACUGUACAUGAACACACAAAACAUUGGACACACAAAACAAAUAUUAUCCUUAUUUUGCCUAUAAGGGUAAAUUUGAUGAUUUUCAAACUGCUUUAUUGUAACGUCUCUUAUAUCUGUAAAUGAACAAUAUUUACUCUCUGAGUUAUGUGGACCUACAUGUCCCCUUUUAUUUGUAAGCAUCACUUUAAAAAUGUUGAAAGAUAAUGUUAAUGUUAACUGAAUACAAAACUAGAGACUUGUUUAGUAAGAUUUUAUCAGAAAAUAUUUUUGAACUUUUAUCAUGCAAUUUAAAACAUUUUAAUUGCUUAAUUAGUAUUGUUUGCCUGGUUUUAUUUUGUGUUUAUGUAACUCUUUUUAAAAAGUUCUUGGCAUAAAGUUCGCAUGCAAUGCUGACAGCACUGAACACAUGACUUUUUAUUAUUAACUAGAUGGUCUUCCCAGUGAGUCUCAGUCAUCUCUGGCUUUUUAAACUGUAACCUUGAAACAUGCAUUUCCUGUAAACCUACUUUGAAAUAAGUAUUAUUAAAAGGUGCUAUACUCAUACAACAUUUAACCAUGCAAGUACUGUAGUAAUGGUUAUUUUUGUUUUUACUAUGGUUUUACUGCAAAAGCUGUAGUAAAAUCAUGGUGAUUGUAGUAAAACUAUGGUUGAUUUAGUUUUUUCUAUGGUUUUACUGCAAAAGCUGUGGUAAAAUCAUGGUUAAUGUUCAAAAGACUACAAAUAAUCCCGAAUUAUCCACUUUUGAUCAAAGCAUCUGGUAAAUGUUAUUGUAUUUGUACAUGUAAUAUGAAAUAAAUGAAAAUAUUAAUAAAGUUGCGUCUGUUCUUGA